GACGCCAGUCUGCAUGGAGCCGACCUUGAAAUACCACCCUUUAAUGUUUGAUGUUCUAACGUUGACCCGUAAUCCGGGUUGCGGACAGUGUCUGGUGGGUAGUUUGACUGGGGCGGUCUCCUCCUAAAGAGUAACGGAGGAGCACGAAGGUUGGCUAAUCCUGGUCGGACAUCAGGAGGUUAGUGCAAUGGCAUAAGCCAGCUUGACUGCGAGCGUGACGGCGCGAGCAGGUGCGAAAGCAGGUCAUAGUGAUCCGGUGGUUCUGAAUGGAAGGGCCAUCGCUCAACGGAUAAAAGGUACUCCGGGGAUAACAGGCUGAUACCGCCCAAGAGUUCAUAUCGACGGCGGUGUUUGGCACCUCGAUGUCGGCUCAUCACAUCCUGGGGCUGAAGUAGGUCCCAAGGGUAUGGCUGUUCGCCAUUUAAAGUGGUACGCGAGCUGGGUUUAGAACGUCGUGAGACAGUUCGGUCCCUAUCUGCCGUGGGCGCUGGAGAACUGAGGGGGGCUGCUCCUAGUACGAGAGGACCGGAGUGGACGCAUCACUGGUGUUCGGGUUGUCAUGCCAAUGGCACUGCCCGGUAGCUAAAUGCGGAAGAGAUAAGUGCUGAAAGCAUCUAAGCACGAAACUUGCC
rnacentral:rRNA from 1 species